GUCGGAGACGAUGCGGUAGACGUCGGCGUAGACGAAGCGCGAGCCGCCGAGGCCGGCGCCCAGCUCGGUCACCACGGCGCGCAGCUUGCGGUUGAAGGACUGGGCCAGCUGGUUCGGGAACUCGGCGCACGCCCCGGCCCCGGUCGUCAUGAUGUCCCUCAGCUGUUGAUGUGCAUGUGAGGAGCUGUGGGAUGGCACGUACGAUGAGCUGCUGCCGGUACUUGGCGAUCAUGCCGUUGAUGAAGGCCUCCGGGGGCGUCACGGCGCGCUCCGGCACGGACAGGACGGGGACGAGGUAGUUGUUGAUGAAGUCGUUGGAGCCCAUGGUGACCGAGAAGAGCGCGCCCCUCAGCCGGCUCACCGCUGCCACCUCCCCCCGCUGUGUCAUCAUGUCGCGCCGGUUCUUGGCGUAGUUGUCAAUCUGCGCAUCCAGACAUGAUUAUCCUGUCGGAAUCGUCGUUUGACUCGUUUCACAAAAGAGAAAUUACUGCCGGAACUGAAAAUUUACAUCAACUAGGAGUAUGAAAUGUGCUGCGGUAUGGAUUAACUACAAGUCUCUAUUACUAGAUCACGC